ACGGGAGGCAGCAGUGGAGAAUAUUGCACAAUGGGCGAAAGCCUGAUGCAGCAACGCCGCGUGAGGGAAGACGGUUUUCGGAUUGUAAACCUCUGUCCUAUGUGAAGAUAAUGACGGUAGCAUAGGAGGAAGCCACGGCUAACUACGUGCCAGCAGCCGCGGUAAUACGUAGGUGGCAAGCGUUGUCCGGAAUUACUGGGUGUAAAGGGAGCGCAGGCGGGUAAUCAAGUCAGCGGUGAAAUACAUGGGCUUAACUCAUGGACUGCCGUUGAAACUGACUAUCUUGAGUGAAUUAGAGGCAAGCGGAAUUCCGAGUGUAGCGGUGAAAUGCGUAGAUAUUCGGAGGAACACCAGUGGCGAAGGCGGCUUGCUGGGAUUUAACUGACGCUGAGGCUCGAAAGUGUGGGGAGCAAACAGGAUUAGAUACCCUGGUA
rnacentral:rRNA from 2 species